rnacentral:rRNA from 1 species
GACGAACGCUGGCGGCGUGCUUAACACAUGCAAGUCGAACGGGAAGGCCCUGCUUUUGUGGGGUGCUCGAGUGGCGAACGGGUGAGUAACACGUGAGUAACCUGCCCUUGACUUUGGGAUAACUUCAGGAAACUGGGGCUAAUACCGGAUAGGAGCUCCUGCGGCAUGGUGGGGGUUGGAAAGUUUCGGCGGUUGGGGAUGGACUCGCGGCUUAUCAGCUUGUUGGUGGGGCAGUGGCUUACCAAGGCUUUGACGGGUAGCCGGCCUGAGAGGGUGACCGGCCACAUUGGGACUGAGAUACGGCCCAGACUCAUACGGGAGGCAGCAGUGGGGAAUAUUGCACACUGGGCGGAAGCCUGAUGCAGCAACGCCGCGUGCGGGAUGACGGCCUUCGGGUUGUAAACCGCUUUCGCCUGUGACGAAGCGUGAGUGACGGUAAUGGGUAAAGAAGCACCGGCUAACUACGUG